rnacentral:misc_RNA from 1 species
UUAACUAUUAUUUAUAGUACUCAGACGACACUAACAUUCAGAGUUUCAGGGGCCUCUGGCGGGCGCGCACCAGCCGGAACCGGUGGCCUUGCGGCGGCCCGCCAAAGCAACAAAGUAUAAAUUACACAAGGGUGGGAGGUCUACCCUCUCGGGCACGAACUCUGUAAUGAUCCUUCCGCAGGUUCACCUACGGAAA